rnacentral:misc_RNA from 1 species
UCUAAAUGAAACCUUGAUCAUCAAUUAUCCAACAAAUACAAAUAUCGCUCUUGCGUAUGAAAAGCUAUUGGAAGCUUAUUUCGCGUUGAAGAGAAGAGAAGAUUUAGACAGAACAUACUGAAGCAGGCAGGAACGAAUUUUUCCGCUUAAUUAAGAGUCUAUGAAGAAAUGAACAACUUCAACAAACGAGAAGAUUUGUUAAUUCGUUUUCAACGGUUCAAAACACGAUACUUAGAAAUGUUAAAAGAAUUAACUAACGAAAUCCAUGAAGAAAGCCAAGGUACAAUAAAUGACAAGGUCAUUUUAAUUACCUUAAUUGGAUUAAAGUUUGUAUGUCUUGCAUUUUUUUGCAUGUGUAUCAAAUCAAAAGGAAAAACAAAUUAGGCAUUAAUUAUUUCUAAUUAUUUGACUUAUAUUAUAACUAUUAAUCUCUGUUUGACAAAACAUACAGGAUUAUCGGGGUUAUAGAACAGUUUGUGCAAAUUGUACUUUCCAGAAAAAUGAUUAAAAAAUUGAUAGUUAUAUACAAUGAUUAUACAAAGAGACAUAUUGAACAAACUUC